UCCCUGUCCUCGACCCCCUCUCCCCCGACCCCGCCUGACUCCGCUCGCCCCGCAGAGCCACGACGAAGCAGGGCCACACGCUGUGCCUCAGCCCUUCGUUGCCGUGGGUGAAGCUGCUCGUCGCCAGAUUCCUCAGCAGUGCUGCCCAGCGGAGCUGAGCGUGGCGGGAUGCGGCUGGCACUUGUGGAGCACCCUAACGGAGCGUCUUCGUUCCCGGGGGUCUGAGUGCGCGGAUUUGACUGCUGCAACAGGGAAGCACUGCCUGCAGUUUGGACGUUGAAAAGCACCGCCCUCAAGUUUUGUCCUCUUCUGCCUUGAAAACUUGCUUUCGGGGUGUAGUUCAGGAGAAGACUCACAGAGAUUAUCCUGAAUUCUUUCAGUGGAAAAGCUUUGCCUGGACUCCAGCAUCGGCAAGCCACUGGUGGGGCUCCUCAGGCACGUUAUGUUAUUUUGCAUAGCAUAAUGUCAUAACUUAUAUGAAGUCAUGUAUGUAGCAGCCACUGCACUGCACUGAUGAAUGUUUUAUUAUAGUCCAGAAUCCCUUUUGGAACUGUAUGUAUGCAGUUCCUCCGUUCUUCAUAUUUCUGUCCAGCAGAAAACUUGACAGGAGGAAUCCAAUCACUUCUAAACAGCGGUCAUUAACUGUCAUCAAGGUGGAACAGCCUUUGUGAUUUCUAUACGUCCGCUAAUGGCAGUCUUUCCAAAUGUCAGAGAACAUGUCCUGUAGUUAUUUAUGCGCACUUACUGUAUAGAAACAUCAGCAGCACACAACAGAACAAGUGUAAAAAGUGCCUGUAAAUUAAAUGGAAAACUAUUUUCUAUAUGCUAAUUGCUAUGUAUGUUUCCUAAUUAAAAUUUUUUCCUUUGUUAACUCUAUUUUUUUGCUUCUUGAAAAUAAACAUCAAGUAUGCCCAG